UACAAAUUGGUGUUGAACACAUGGAGAUCCAAGACAUAGUCGACCCCAAGUCACCAACUUCUUGUCCUCCACAAACACCAUGUUGUGGGUUUUUGCUCAAGUCACUAUCCACUGAUGCGAGAGAGCUUAUGCCCUAGCUCUUCAAGUGUGUUCCUUGCCUCUGGGGUCUUGUUGUGAGCACUCUUCGGAUUCUUACCGUUUAUGCUACUGAGCUUUGUUCACGUUCUAUAUAUCAAAGUGAAGGAAGUCACCUAAGCUUCUCAUGUACUCCCAAUUGUUUAGUGGACAAGAACUACUGGAGUAUAUAUGUAGACCUUACACAUGGAGAAGCAAUGUAUUUUUCUCUGAACUUAUACCGCUACUUCACUAUGUGUAAUAUAUUUCUCUGCAUUUUAUAGGUCUGCUUGUUUUUGGACGAUUUA